UUGAACGCUGGCGGCAUGCCUUACACAUGCAAGUCGAACGGCAGCACGGGGGCAACCCUGGUGGCGAGUGGCGAACGGGUGAGUAAUACAUCGGAACGUAUCCUGUAGCGGGGGAGUAACCUCUCGAAAGAGAGGCUAAUACCGCAUACGACCUACGGGUGAAAGAGGGGGAGUCNCAAGACCUCUCACUAUUGGAGCGGCCGAUGUCGGAUUAGCUAGUUGGCGGGGUAACGGCCCACCAAGGCUACGAUCCGUAGCUGGUCUGAGAGGACGACCAGCCACACUGGAACUGAGACACGGUCCAGACUCCUA
rnacentral:rRNA from 1 species